rfam:Dipodomys ordii contig_68737, whole genome shotgun sequence.
GUCUACAGCCAUACCACCCUGAACGCGCCCGAUCUCAUCUGAUCUCGGAAGCUAAGCAGGGUCGGGUCUGGUUAGUACUUGGAUGGGAGAGAGAGAGAGAGAAGGGAUUAUGGCUUUAAAUC